UUUUUUUUUUUUUUUUAAAGCUUCACUACCAUCGAAAUAUAUAUAACAGNAGUAAAAUUGUAAACUUUUAUUUUUAUACCAUAGUAGUAUGGCUAUGAUUGGAAGGUUGUAGUGUCAGNCAAGUUGGAAAAACUGUUGGCACUUUUUUUCUGAAUCAAUGGAAUUCUUAUCAAACACAUGCAAACGUAUAAAGAAGACUUGAAUAGAUAAUCUUUGAAUUCAAACAAAUCCUAGGCAACUGAACAACGCAUCUACCUCAGCAGUCCUUGGGAAAUGGNAUAAAUAGGCAAGCAUUAAACUUUUAUAUAUAAAACCAUCAAGAUCUCUAUUUUUAACUCGGUGGNUUCUUUCACAAGACUUACUUCAAGAACGACAACACAUCCUGACAGUUAAUUCAUUAAUACUAAUACUAUCGAGGAUUCUGUCAUCCAAGNGGAAUGAACAUGGGCAUCAAAGGAAUGUUUCCUCCAAGUGAGAACUAUAGNGUUGCNAGAGCGGAAUACUUGGUCGCUUAGAACAAAACCGAAUUACUGGCCUUAGGGAUAUGGCUCCAAAGUGNGGCGCUAUAUCUGGGAUCUAUUGCUACGUCAUUCAUUGGUNCAACCCNUAUNGGGNAUAA
rnacentral:sRNA from 1 species